UGAAAGCCAACAAGCAUCCAAAUCUUCUUCUUAUCAGGGUGCGAGUUUGAAAUUUUUUUUUAUCCAAACUAACACAAUUAACAUAGAAGAGGAUGUCUUCUGCGGAUGUGAGAACUUUAGCAUAAGCCAAUCAAUAUGAAAUUACAACCCAAACAUCAGCCUACUAAGGCUAUCUUUAGCAAGAGAAGAAAAUUUGAGACAUAGAAUGAGUUAGCAGCUAAGAGCAUAUAUCUAACAGUAUGACUACUGGUCUCUCUAAGCUAAAUUUUAGCCAUUCUAUCUAAAAAUUACACUUUAACAGAAUUGUCAACCGGAUGACCAAACCCAUAUACUUGGCCAAACUCCUCCCUCACCUGGCGAAAUAUAGCCCAAAAAGGAGUGGCUAAAUGUGGGUCCCACGUAUGAAAAGUACUAGUGCUACUCCAGCCGCCGGCGCCCGGGACGACC
rnacentral:lncRNA from 1 species